AAUUAUCUGUUCUCAUGUCAGCCGAGCACUCCCUCAGCCCUACUGCACAGCUUUGCACUGAACCGUGCUCCAGCAUUCUUUAAACACAGUUGGUUCCUCCUAGACCGGCUCCACUGGAAGAACCACAUUGACAGGUUCCAGCUUCCAGUCCAACCCUCAGCCCCAGGUUCACACCCACCAGCCCAAGCUUGCCCAGGUCUGCACUCCCUCUCCCCCUCUUUUCAAUAAACACUAGUUUCCUAUUAA